GACGAACGCUGGCGGCGUGCUUAACACAUGCAAGUCGUACGGUAAGGCCCUUUCUGGGGUACACGAGUGGCGAACGGGUGAGUAACACGUGAGUAACCUGCCCACAACUUUGUGAUAACGCUAGUCAACUGGCUCUAAUACUUGACAUGUGCUCCUGCUGCAUGCUGGGGGUUGGAAAGCUCCGGGGGUUGUGGAUGGAUUCGCGGCCUAUCAGCUUGUUUGUUGGGGAGUGGCCUACCAAGGCGGCGACUGGUAGCCGGCCUGAGGGGGUGACCGGCCACAUUGGGGCCGAGAUACGGCCCAGAAUCCUAAGGGGGGGAGCAGGGGGGAAUAUUGCCAAAUGGGGGCAAGCCUGAUGCAGCAACGCCGCGUGCGGGAUGACGGCCUUCGGGUUGUAAACCGCUUUCAGCAGGGACGAAGCUUUUUGUGACGGUACCUGCAGAAGAAGCACCGGCUAACUACGUG
rnacentral:rRNA from 1 species